GUACACUCCUGCGGGAGGCAGCAGUGGGGAAUUUUGGACAAUGGGCGAAAGCCUGAUCCAGCAAUGCCGCGUGAGUGAAGAAGGCCUUCGGGUUGUAAAGCUCUUUUGUCAGGGAAGAAACGGUGAGAGCUAAUAUCUCUUGCUAAUGACGGUACCUGAAGAAUAAGCACCGGCUAACUACGUGCCAGCAGCCGCGGUAAUACGUAGGGUGCAAGCGUUAAUCGGAAUUACUGGGCGUAAAGCGUGCGCAGGCGGUUUUGUAAGUCUGAUGUGAAAUCCCCGGGCUCAACCUGGGAAUUGCAUUGGAGACUGCAAGGCUAGAAUCUGGCAGAGGGGGGUAGAAUUCCACGUGUAGCAGUGAAAUGCGUAGAUAUGUGGAGGAACACCGAUGGCGAAGGCAGCCCCCUGGGUCAAGAUUGACGCUCAUGCACGAAAGCGUGGGGAGCAAACAGGAUUAGAAACCCGGGUAGUCCCA
rnacentral:rRNA from 1 species